ensembl:lncRNA
GGCAGGUAGGGGCAGGUAGGGGCAGGUAGGGGCAGGUAGGGUCAGGUAGGGGCCGGUAGGGGCAGGUAGGGUCAGGUAGGGGCCGGUAGGGGCAGGUAGGGUCAGGUAGGGGCCGGUAGGGGCAGGUAGGGGCGACAGGGGACGCUGAGGUUGGUGGCACUGCGGGCCCGGUGCUGGAGAGGCUGAGAGGCGGGGCAGCAGGCCGGGCCUCUGUCUGGGAGCCUGUCUCUCAGGCAGUGUGGUCAGCUACUGGUCAGGGCUCCCCUGAGCCCCACCACACUCGUUGACAUCAACCUGCCUGUCUGUCCGUCGGACAAUCUGGCUAGCCAUCCAUCUG